UAGCACAGUCGGUUAGAGCAUGGUGCUGGUAACGCCAAGGUUGCGGGUUCGAUCCCCGU
rnacentral:tRNA from 1 species